UAGGGGGCAAGCGUUAUCCGGAUUUACUGGGUGUAAAGGGAGCGUAGACGGCAUAGCAAGUCUGGAGUGAAAGCCCGGGGCUCAACCCCGGGACUGCUUUGGAAACUGUUAGGCUAGAGUGCUGGAGAGGUAAGUGGAAUUCCUAGUGUAGCGGUGAAAUGCGUAGAUAUUAGGAGGAACACCAGUGGCGAAGGCGGCUUACUGGACAGUAACUGACGUUGAGGCUCGAAAGCGUGGGGAGCAAA
rnacentral:rRNA from 1 species